GCCAUCGUAGCUCAAUGGCAGAGCACGAGUUUUGUAAACUCGCGGUUGUCGGUUCGAGUCCGACCGAUGGCU
rnacentral:tRNA from 1 species